GCUCUGUGGUUGCUAGAGGCUGUUAAACAGUGCAGCACUCAGUGCGUAGAGUGGGCCAGAGCAGUCAGGUGACUUAUGUAAGGGAGCUGUGUUUCCUCAGCAGCUGCCAUAGCCUAGUCACUGGUACAUAG
rnacentral:snoRNA from 1 species